rnacentral:rRNA from 1 species
UACGGAGGGGGCUAGCGUUGUUCGGAAUUACUGGGCGUAAAGCGCACGCAGGUGGCUGAGUCAGUCGAUUGCGAAAGCCCUGGGCUUAACCUGGGAAUUGCAGUCGAUACUACUCAGCUAGAGUAUGGGAGAGGGUAGUGGAAUUCCCGGUGUAGCGGUGAAAUGCGCAGAUAAUCGGGAGGAACACCCGUAGCGAAGGCGGCACUCUGGGCCGGUACUGACGCUGAGGAGCGAAAGCGUGGGGAGCAAACAGG